ensembl:snRNA U6 U6 spliceosomal RNA
GCGCUCCCUUCGGCAGCACACAUACUAAAAUUGGUACAAUACAGAGAUUAGCAUGGCCCCUGCGCAAGGAUGGCAGGCACAUUCCUGAAGUGUUUACUAUUAAA